UACGGGGGGGGCAAGCGUUGUUCGGAAUUACUGGGCGUAAAGGGCUCGUAGGCGGCCAACUAAGUCAGACGUGAAAUCCCUCGGCUUAACCGGGGAACUGCGUCUGAUACUGGAUGGCUUGAGUUUGGGAGAGGGAUGCGGAAUUCCAGGUGUAGCGGUGAAAUGCGUAGAUAUCGAGAGGAACACCAGUGGCGAAGGCGAGUCUCUGGACAUUUCCUGACGCUGAGGCACGAAAGCCAGGGGAGCAAACGGG
rnacentral:rRNA from 1 species